UACGGAGGGUGCAAGCAUUAAUCGGAUUUAUUGGGCGUAAAGGGCGCGUAGGCUUCUUAGCAAGUCAGAUGUGAAAUUCCGGGGCUUAAUCUCGGAGCUGCAUUUGAGACUACUAAGAUGGAGGAUAAGCGGAGAAAGUGGAAUUCCACGUGUAGCGGUGAAAUGCGUAGAUAUGUGGAGGAACACCGGUGGCGAAGGCGACUUUCUAGUUUAUACCUGACGCUGAGGCGCGAAAGCAAGGGGAGCAAAC
rnacentral:rRNA from 1 species